AUGCAGGCGUGGAGCUUAAGGAAGGAUGGGAAAGUGAUGGAUCUAAUCGACUCAUCUAUCAUCAAGGGUUGCUCUCUCGUUGAAGCUUUACGAUGCAUCCAUAUCGGACUCUUGUCGGUGCAGGAUGACCCAGAUGCUCACCCUCUCAUGUCUUGGGUGGUAGCAAGCCUGGAUAACGAAGACAUUGAGAUCCCACAACCGAAAGAACCUAUGUGCUUUGCACACCGUAACUACAGAGCCAGCGAAAGCCAUGUACAUGACAUGAGCCUCGAAAACCUCAAGGAGUGCUAG
rnacentral:rRNA from 1 species